AAAGAUUAAGCCAUGCAUGUCUAAGUAUAAGCAAUUAUACCGCGAAACUGCGAAUGGCUCAUUAAAUCAGUUAUCGUUUAUUUGAUAGUACCUUACCACAUGGAUACCCGUGGUAAUUCUAGAGCUAAUACAUGCUAAAAACCCCGACUUCGGAAGGGGUGUAUUUAUUAGAUUAAAAACCAAUGCCCCUCGGGGCUCUCUGGUGAUUCAUAAUAACUUCUCGAAUCGCACGGCCUUGCGCCGGCGAUGGUUCAUUCAAAUUUCUGCCCUAUCAACUCUCGACGGCUGGGUCUUGGCCAGCCGUGGUGA
rnacentral:rRNA from 1 species